rnacentral:rRNA from 1 species
UACGUAGGGGGCUAGCGUUGUCCGGAAUCAUUGGGCGUAAAGCGCGUGUAGGCGGCCCGGUAAGUCCGCUGUGAAAGUCCAGGGCUCAACCCUGGGAUGCCGGUGGAUACUGUCGGGCUCGAGUCCGGAAGAGGCGAGUGGAAUUCCUGGUGUAGCGGUGAAACGCGCAGAUAUCAGGAGGAACACCAAUGGCGAAGGCAGCUCGCUGGGACGUGACUGACGCUGAGACGCGAAAGCGUGGGGAGCAAACAGG